CCCAAUCUAUAAAUAUGAAUAUAACACUCCCAAUAUAAUUCAAUAUACAACAAACUCCAGUGAUCAACAUCCUCAACUAAAAUGUUGAGUUUUAUAUUUCUAGAGUCUCAAAAGAUAAUAUUAUAACUAAUAUUAAUAUCUCAGUUUAUUCUUAAUUCCAAAAGAAUAAUAUAACAAAAUUAUACAAUCCCAAAAGAACAAGAUGUCCUAACAAAAACAUCUAUAUCUUCUAACACCAUCACGUGGCCAAGACUCAAAAUAUAUUUACAGUCGCUGGGCCGGUCUGGUGUACCUGCAACCUCCUGGUUGGGGGGAGGGGAAUAUAAUAAAAACGAGGUGAGUUUAAAACUCAGUGAGAUCAGUGAGUAGAUAGUAUUUUUUGAAAAUUAAUUCUUACUUUAAAAGAAAGGGAAAUACCAUCUCAUACACGGAUAGACAGGGAAAUACCAUCUCAUAUUUCAUCAUAUCUAUGCAUGAAUAAUCUAGUCCCUAAAGGACAAAAGCGCCCAAGCACACGACCCAAAGCCUCUAUGUGUACUCAGACGGGCCCCAAAGGUCUAUAUCUCAUAUGUAUUAUCUGUAUCUCAAUAUAUGUAUGUAUCUCAUAUUUGUAUCUCUGUAAUCAUCAUAACGCAUGCAUAUGCCCCCAAAAGGCAGAAACGCCCAAACACACGGCCCAAAGCCUCUAUGUGUGUUCAAACGGGCCUCAAAUGCCUCUCAUCUCAUAUGUAUCACUGUAUCUGGAGGGAAGGGUACUGUCUAAUGAUUUAAAAAACAAUCACUAUACUCAUAUUCACAUACCUUUUAACCAUACUUUAAAUCAUACUACAUUUGAAUCCAUUUUUCUUGUCUUUAAAAUACUAUCAUGCUUUAUUCAAAGUCGAUACGGAAAACCAUUAACCAAACAUUUUAAUAUAAUAUCAAUACGUGAAUAAAAUCCAUUUCAAGAAAAUCAUUAAAUCAUAACAUUUAAAACACUUAUUUUGUAAACAUGUUUUACUAUCAUAAUUAACUAUGAAAAUAGGUUUUGUAUAUUCCACUCACAGUGAUGGUGUUCACGCUCAGUUAUCGUCCACGUCCGCGAAUCGGUUCUCGCUCGCGGAUCCUCUAAAUAAAGAAAACGACAUAACUAUUUUUCGUAAAUCGGAAUUACAACUAAAUUUAUGCAAUAAACUCGAAACGAACAUCUAUCCAUAAUUUACAACUCCCAUGUUGAUAAAAUUACUAAAAUGCCCUCGAGUCCGUAAAUCAUUAAAACUCUGAAAUCGUAAAUCAACGAAUUACCCUCGGAAUCGUAAUUACACCCAAUUCUCAAUUCUAGGAAUUACUAAAAUAUCUAUAGGCUCAGAAAUUACAAAUUUGCCCUCAUAGUGUGAAAUUACCAAAAUGCCCUCGCCGGUCAACGGUCGGAAUUUGGUCAACGCCGGUCGGGAAGUUCAAGUCUGAAAGUUCUGGCCACACUGAGUCCAACGGUGGUGGUGGUGACCUCCCAUGCACGGCGAUGGCUCUGGAUCGAGCUCCCAAAGCCGUAAGUCCUUCAACGGCCGAUCAACGGCAAAACGAUGUCCCCCGACAGUGGAUGGUCGGAAAUGGAAGAGGGAGUCGUGGGGAACAAAACUGAGGUGGUGGCAUGGUCAAAUUCCGGUAGAGCAACGGCGGCGAUGAUGGGUUUUGGCCGCGGUUUUGCAGGCCUUGAACGACGGCGUUCCGGUCGGUUUUCAGCGACAGGGAUGGCAGGGGAACGACGGCCGGUCUUCACGCUUCAGAUUGGUACCAAGCUCGGCCGAAACGGUGGCCGGAAAUGGGAGAUAUGGCCAGGUCAAGGUCGAAGGUUCCGGGUCGGGUUUUUGGGUCGGGUUCUCUCUCUCACUCUGUCUCACGUGCAUAUGUUUCCCCUGUUUCCAGCUUAUUCUUUUGCUUUUACUAACUUCUUAACCGCCUCUUUUUAUUUAUUCAUUUUUUAAUUCACAUAUGUUACAUGGAGUUCUAGUUGGACUAAACAGAUAAAUUGUGCCUA
rnacentral:lncRNA from 1 species